rnacentral:rRNA from 1 species
UACGUAGGGCGCAAGCGUUGUCCGGAAUUAUUGGGCGUAAAGAGCUCGUAGGCGGCUUGUCAAGUCGGGUGUGAAAGCCCGGGGCUUAACCCCGGGUCUGCAUUCGAUACGGGCAGGCUAGAGUGUGGUAGGGGAGAUCGGAAUUCCUGGUGUAGCGGUGAAAUGCGCAGAUAUCAGGAGGAACACCGGUGGCGAAGGCGGAUCUCUGGGCCAUUACUGACGCUGAGGAGCGAAAGCGUGGGGAGCAAACAGG